rnacentral:rRNA from 1 species
AAUGAACGCUGGCGGCAGGCCUAACACAUGCAAGUCGAACGGAUCCUUCGGGAUUAGUGGCGGACGGGUGAGUAACGCGUGGGAACAUACCCUUUGGUACGGAAUAGCCUCGGGAAACUGGGAGUAAUACCGUAUGUGGUCGAGAGACGAAAGAUUUAUCGCCAAAGGAUUGGCCCGCGUUGGAUUAGGUAGUUGGUGGGGUAAUGGCCUACCAAGCAGACGAUCCAUAGCUGGUUUGAGAGGAUGAUCAGCCACACUGGGACUGAGACACGGCCCAGAGUCCUACGGGAGGCAGCAGUUGGGAAUCUUAGACAAUUGGGGAAACCCUGAUCUAGCCAUGCCGCGUGAUCGAUGAAGGCCUUAGGGUUGUAAAGAUCUUUCAGGUGGGAAGAUAAUGACUGUACCACCAGAAGAAGCCCCGGCUAACUACGUGCCAGCAGCCGCAGUAA